rnacentral:lncRNA from 1 species
UCUCAAGGCUGUAAUUGUCCAAAAGCUUUCUAUGUGAAAAAAAAGGAUGUAUAUUAGUCAUAUGAAAUCUUUGAGCUAUAGGAUCUUUCUUAAUUUCUAAAUGAACCUUUUCCAGUUUAAGUAAUUUGCAGGGGCAAGGGGCAUGGAUUGUCACCUUUUCCAUUUUUUUCCUCAGAAGGAAUUGCUCUUUUUCCCUUUAGAAGGAAAUGAGUAGACAGAACAAAUACAGAAGACCCCAAAUAUCGAAAUCAGUAGUUUUAAAUUACAUAGAGUCAAACUUCUUAAGAUAUAAUUCUACCUGUAUUGCUGAAAAUAGAGCUGAGAAAUCUUUAGUUCUUGGCUUUUUUCCCAUUUUUGUAAGCAUUGUUAUCACUUCCUCUAUUGUGAAGUGUCUAUUAUGCAAUCCUGUUGGGAAUAGCUUUUCCUUCACGAGCAGCUCAUCAUGCUGUCAGCACAGAGCUCCCUGGAGACCACAGCAAGACUCCAAAGGGGAGCAUGGGGAGGAAAAAAGGCCCAUUUCCCCCAAGGAAGCAAGAGAAGAUGGAAAUAAUUAGAACUUAAUUUGGAUGCCAGAGUUCCAGAUUUCAGAUUGGAACGUCAUGCCUGUCCUUCAGUAUGAACACCUGGAAGAGUGCAUAAGAGGGAUAUGCGCCCAGGCAGGCUCAAUUUCUACUUGCAGUCAUGAUGUGAAUCAAACGUUACUGCAGGCCCAGCAUGGACCCAGAUUAUGUCACCCCCAGAGUGUCCACUGUGAUGAUCCAGAAGAUACUAGUAGUUUCUGGACUAGACACCACAGCAUUGGAGGAAAAACAGCCUUCAGCCCAAAGAAAAUUAUAUUGAGAGAAGACAUCGAAAGCCUUUUGAAGAAAAACUCAGAUUGCACAUGGGAUUGGUCAGGUUGGUUUGAAAAUGUCUCCCUGCCCCCGCAAAAGACUGCCUCUAAACAUUUUUUAAACAUAAUCCAAAGCACACAGCCUCUCCCAGCAGGAGGAACAUGUGUGUUAGGAUGA